UUCACAUCACUUUCUAUAUAUUAUUAUCUAUCUCCCACUCCAUUUUCUUCAAAUAACAACCACACAACAUGAAGAUACUUCCCUUUUUUCUUCUUGUCAUUUUUCUACUUGAAAUAACAAUUUCUGUUGAGUCCCAAACUCCAGCACUCUUAAAAUAUGUACUUCAAUGGCCACCUACUUUUUGUUUUCAACUUAAUUCCAAAGAAGCAAAAUUUUGCAAAGAACCAAUUCCUCAAAAUAAAUUCACACUCCAUGGUGUUAUGCAAGCAAAUGAAGAUGGAUUUAACAUAAAAUGUGACUAUAACAAAAAGAUCCAAAUGAUUUGGAUAAUGUGGCAUGUAUACAUACAUAUUCAGAGUUUAAGUUUUAUGCACUGACAAUACGUGUUACAUUUUUAUGGCAUUGUUUGUAGUUGGAAGAAGUGGAAAGUGAUCUAGUAAAGUUCUGGCCCUCGCUUAGAGAAGAGUUAUGGAAGCAUGAGUGGCGCGUCGAUGGAUCAUGUGGAGGAACAACACCUCAAGAGUACUUCUACAAAGCAAUAAUGAUGAAUCACAUACCUGAAAAAGGAAACUUGUAUAAUUACUUGGAAUCAAGUGAGAUUAUUGCAAGUGAUGACUUGGCUUAUACAAAACAACAUAUUGUUGAGGCUAUACAAAAGUUGGUUUUAUGAAGUUCCUUUUGUAGAUCAUAAACCACAUUAUAAUGUUUACCUCUCUUGUGUUCCAAUUGAUUCAUAUAACAAUACUCAUGUUUACUUGAGUGAGGUUGCUUGGUGCACUGAACUUGAAGGUGUUCAAUACAUUUCAUGUCCAUCAAAAGCUAAUCCAACAAGUUGCCCUAAAGAAGCCCUAAUUAUGCUCCCUCUUGAUUAUAUUGAUGUCGAAGAAAGAACGUACCUUUGGAGGCGAAGGACGAGGAACAAUAAUAUUUUGAACACGACAACGUUUGUUAAUGAGAGAAGUUGGACAAUCCACAAAAUCCUUUGCUUCAUCUGUGUAGCAAAAUGUAACUUGAUUCAAAUAAGCAUGAGUUGUGUUAAUGUCUUUGCAAGUGAAAUACACAUCUGUAUUCUUUGCAACUUUUUUGAAUGAGUUCAAGAUUUCAACAUUGUUGUAUGUAGCAGAGUCACAAGGGACUAUUCCAUUUGAGUUUAUUAAAUGACUUUGUAACAAAUCUCCAAUUUCACUAUCCAAUCUUGAAGCCCUAUUGAAAUA